rnacentral:rRNA from 1 species
AAUCAACGCUGGCGGCGUGCCUAACACAUGCAAGUCGAACGAGAAAGUGGCAGCAAUGCCAUGAGUACAGUGGCGCACGGGUGAGUAACACGUGACUAACCUACCCAGGAGUGGGGAAUAACUUCGGGAAACCGAGGCUAAUACCGCAUAACACCUACGGGUCAAAGGAGCAAUUCGCUUCUGGAGGGGGUCGCGGCCGAUUAGUUAGUUGGCAGGGUAAUGGCCUACCAAGACGAUGAUCGGUAUCCGGCCUGAGAGGGCGCACGGACACACUGGAACUGAAACACGGUCCAGACUCCUACGGGAGGGCAGCAGUGGGGAAUUUUGCGCAAUGGGGGAAACCCUGACGCAGCAACGCCGCGUGGAGGAUGAAGUCCUUC